GACAUACGAAGAAAAGUCAAUUCAACAGUUUAUCAUCUUUUGUUAAACAUACAUGCUGCCGCAUUAUUAUGUCAAUUUUAUUAAUUACAUAUUUUCAUCAUUACUACUGAAUUGUUCCAUACAACAAUAAUCAAUUCACAAAUAAUAAAAUAACGUGAAUUAAUUUUGCAAUACAAAAUUUUUUAAGGUAUAAAUAACUUCAUACUUUCAACUGUUUGUAUAAAAUUGUGAUUUCCAAAAUUCAACAUAAACUGACAAUACAUUCCAUUAAACAUCUAGCAUUUACAGGAUAAAGGCCUUUUUCAAUGUAACACUUCUUAGUCAUAGUCAUAUUGAAUUCAUACUAGAAUAGUGGGCGGCCAAGGACCGUUAAGCACAUGGACCUCCUGGUAGGUCCAUCGUGUCCCACUUGACUAACCACUGCUUUUGGAGCAAACUCGUUGUUCUAUGGGCGAAGAACCAGGUUUCCUUGAGCUCUUAACAGACUUUGUCUGGACCUCCGAGCUGGAACCCCUGAAUAGAGGAGAGUUGGAGGUCGAGGCAACCUUAGGAUACGGGGCGAUUGAUGUUGCGGGGUUUGAGUAGAGCCUUGGCAAAAGUACAGGCCAUAGCUUCAACUUCGAUAGAAAUCAAUGCUUUGAAGGUUGUUCCAGCAGACUGUUUGUAACUAAUGGAUCAUGCUUGAUAUGAAAAUUGUAUUCCAAUAGUAACAAGUUCAAGUAAUGGAUAAAAAAUUUCACAUUCAAGCAACAAAUUAAACUUGUUCAGUACUAUAAUAGUUCGAAGAGCAAAAAUGAUGAAUUUUAGAACAUAUGUCAACUCAUAUUUUAGACUGUGCAUUAUACUUUAUCAGGUUGUAAAAUGUGUACUAUGUACUCUAACUUUAUUUAAGAAGGUGAUUAUUAUGUACUAAGUAUUGUUGCCUCUAAAACAAUUUAGUUAUUUACAAAAUAAUAUUUAUUUAUAAUGCAGUUUAAGAAGACUUUCACAAUUAAUAAUCAGCAGGGUUUGUUGCAGUCAUGUUGAGACUGGCUCACUCCAGUUCUCUCUUCUGUCGGUUAUAUUAGCUUUAUUCAUGGAUCUGAUUCCUAAUCAGUUUAGGGAUUGAUCGCAUGUACACUUUCAAAAUUGUUGUUUGUGGGUCUUUGGUGUAAGGGGAGAACAGAAUUUUUCCACUACUGCCCAUUGAAAAGCACCAUGUGAUGGAGUUUGGGCACAGUGAAAAGACUUGCUGCAAAAACAAGCAUACAAAGACCAACUUUAUGAAUGGGCAGUUGGAAAUUUAUCUGGCAUUAGUUUCAUCUUCUCCACACAAUAUGAGUAUGUUGAGUCUGAGGAAUUUCCGAAUAACCCUUUCAGCUAUGCAGAAACUAUUAAGGGAACACAACAAUAUCAUGCUUAUAUGCCUGCAAAUUUAAGUGUAUCAAAGAAAUGUAAGAAGAUACAACAGAGGAAACAGUGACCAUCCAAAAAAGUCCAGAUAAGCUACAAAUUAUAGAAGUUAGUGGAUAUAUAACAACUAUAUGAUCAAAUGUGGUGACUGGCAUUAAUAUUAGAAAAUAAUGAAGAAGAUGAACUAAAAGAGACUUUUCUUCAUCUUGCUGGUUCUUCGUAUCCUAUUUAUAUCAAAGAAAACUGGAAAUAUUGUGGAUACCACUGAUAUAUGUACUUUGUAAAGUUGAUCCUACCACUCCUACAUGAAGUAAUAACAUCUGAAGAAGUCGUAAAAACUUCACAAAUCAUCAAGUUUUGAUUAACUUUAGCUCAAGAUGUAAUGUUAAAAAUGGAACUAAAACAAGUUCAUGAUCAA